rnacentral:misc_RNA from 1 species
UGUGGCACGUGAGACGGUGCAGGUUUGGGCGGCGGUCUGCUGUCCUUAUUUGGUGGUGGAAUGGGUGGUAACGGCGCCGCGACGAUCGACAUCUGGCAUGGCGACAGUGG